CGUCAGCGCUGUUGUUGACAUUAGCUUCAGCAGCAGAAAUGAUUUUAAUCUUUCUCGUCAUUAAAGCGCAGUUUUGCGGAUGAAAAAAUGUGCUUUUUCCCCGCGGUUCUUCUGCUCCUGGACCGGGCCGCUCUCCUCAUGAAUCCCGCAGACACUUUAUGAAGUUUAAUCCGCGGAAACAGCUCUGAAAGUGGAGUUUUUUUUACCCGCGCGGCUAACAGCUAAAGCUAACGAGCUAACAGCUAACUCUCUCAGGUGAAAUGUCGACUUCGUUUAAAAUCCCAAAAGAAGCCGCUCGGAGUCGGACUCGGUGCAGAUGACGUCGCCGCUGUCCCGGCUCCAGAGCCCGCGGAGACACAGGACAAGGGUUUCGCUCCGUUCAGAGACAGGACUCUCUCUGGGAACAGCUCCUCCGUGACUCCUCUCAGAGGAACAAACUCUCACAAACUCCACCUGAAGCCCAGACUCGGACACAAACCGGCCGAGCCUUUCUCCAACGGGUGGCGCCCUAAGCGAGCGUCGGACCGGCUGCUGUCGCCUGUGGCUGUUUCUCGAGUCGAGCAGAAAAAUGAAGAAAGUUCAGAUUCUGCUGAAGAUUCUCCUCAGAAGAAAAUCUCGCCUCUGUCGGAGCCGUCUCCUCUGCGCCCGAUCUCCGUCCGAUCCCUCGACUCUUUGUCCGCGCUCCGAGCAGAACGGCAUCAUGGGAGUCCUGGAGACGACCGGAAGAGGACGCCCCAAACUGAGACCAGUUUGUCCUGGUCCAGAGUGAGUUCAGUCUCUGCAGCUGCUGCUCCUUCAACAUCCACCACGAGCAGCGGGAAACCUCCAUCAGGAGCCUCAGGAGCCACAGACCAGAGCGUCUGGUCCGACCUCAGUGACGUCCGGGAGAAGCAGAGGGAGAAAUGGAGACAGUUCAAAGAGAAGAACAAAACCGAAGUCAGGCCGGGAUCCGGACCAAACCCCAGACCAGGACCAGGACCAGGACCACGGCCAGCUCCGAGCCCAUCGUUCUGUCCAGUGAAGAGGAGGAGGAAGAGGAGCAGGGCGGGGUCGACAGAACCGUCCAAUCAGAUCGCUCCGAGCGCUCACAGAGCCGCGCCCCCUCAGAGUCUCCGCC
rnacentral:lncRNA from 1 species